rnacentral:tRNA from 1 species
GAAACUUCUAAUUUCCUAAAAAGCUGUUAUAGUUAAU